CCUGAUGCAGCAACGCCGCGUGAGGGAUGACGGCCUUCGGGUUGUAAACCUCUUUUAGCAAGGAAGAAGCGAAAGUGACGGUACUUGCAGAAAAAGCGCCGGCUAACUACGUGCCAGCAGCCGCGGUAAUACGUAGGGCGCAAGCGUUAUCCGGAAUUAUUGGGCGUAAAGAGCUCGUAGGCGGUUUGUCGCGUCUGCUGUGAAAUCUGGAGGCUCAACCUCCAGCCUGCAGUGGGUACGGGCAGACUAGAGUGCGGUAGGGGAGAUUGGAAUUCCUGGUGUAGCGGUGGAAUGCGCAGAUAUCAGGAGGAACACCGAUGGCGAAGGCAGAUCUCUGGGCCGUAACUGACGCUGAGGAGCGAAAGGGUGGGGAGCAAACAGGCUUAGAUACCCUGGUAGUCCACCCCGUAAACGUUGGGAACUAGUUGUGGGGACCAUUCCACGGUUUCCGUGACGCAGCUAACGCAUUAAGUUCCCCGCCUGGGGAGUACGGCCGCAAGGCUAAAACUCAAAGGAAUUGACGGGGACCCGCACAAGCGGCGGAGCAUGCGGAUUAAUUCGAUGCAACGCGAAGAACCUUACCAAGGCUUGACAUAUACGAGAACGCUGCAGAAAUGUAGAACUCUUUGGACA
rnacentral:rRNA from 1 species